GCAGGGCGCGGUGGCGCACGCCUGUAGUCCCAGCUACUCCGGAGGCUGAGACAGGAGGAUCGCUUGAGUCCAGGAGUUCUGGGCUGUAGUGCGCUAUGCCGAUCGGGUGUCCGCACUAAGUUCGGCAUCAAUAUGGUGACCUCCCGGGAGCGGGGGGCCACCAGGUUGCCUAAGGAGGGGUGAACCAGCCCAGGUCGAAAACGGAGCAGGUCAAAACUCCCGUGCUGAUCAGAAGAUGGGAAAGGAGAGGAGCUAUGUUACUACCGGUGGGAAUGUAAUCCAGUGCUGUCACUGU
rfam:Mesocricetus auratus contig059099, whole genome shotgun sequence.